rnacentral:lncRNA from 1 species
GCGUUGUUUACUUUAUGCUAUCAUUUUUGUAUGAGACUAUGUGAUAUAUUAUGUUCCGCUAUGUAAUAAACACUGCAAUGGUACAUUUGAGAUUUGUCUACUUAUGUGUGCGACUGUUUCUGGGGCACAUGUGAGUCUUUUAUGCAUCCUAUUUUGUUCUUAAAAUAUGGGUGUGACAUAGAUUGUGACUUAGUAGAUAGUAGAUACUUAGAAUCCAUUCUCAAGCUAAUCCGACGUCACCUUACGUUUAUAUGGAGUAGUCUAUUUCUAAUCGCUGUGUUAUUUACCCUUGAGCUUAUAUUUUAUUAUCUUUAUUAUUAUGGCUUACCCCC